rnacentral:rRNA from 1 species
CACUAUCGUUAACUGAAUACAUAGGUUAACGAGGCGAACCGGGGGAACUGAAACAUCUAAGUACCCCGAGGAAAAGAAAUCAACCGAGAUUCCCCCAGUAGCGGCGAGCGAACGGGGAGCAGCCCAGAGUCUGAAUCAGCUUGUGUGUUAGUGGAACGGUCUGGAAAGUCCGACGGUACAGGGUGAUAGUCCCGUACACCAAAAUGCACAGGUUGUGAACUCGAAGAGUAGGGCGGGACACGUGGUAUCCUGUCUGAAUAUGGGGGGACCAUCCUCCAAGGCUAAAUACUCCUGACUGACCGAUAGUGAACCAGUACCGUGAGGGAAAGGCGAAAAGAACCCCGGCGAGGGGAGUGAAAAAGAACCUGAAACCGUGUACGUACAAGCAGUGGGAGCACCUUCGGGUGUGACUGCGUACCUUUUGUAUAAUGGGUCAGCGACUUAUAUUCUGUAGCAAGGUUAACCGUAUAGGGGAGCCGCAGGGAAACCGAGUCUUAACUGGGCGUUAAGUUGCAGGGUAUAGACCCGAAACCCGGUGAUCUAGCCAUGGGCAGGUUGAAGGUUGGGUAACACUAACUGGAGGACCGAACCGACUAAUGUUGAAAAAUUAGCGGAUGACUUGUGGCUGGGGGUGAAAGGCCAAUCAAACCGGGAGAUAGCUGGUUCUCCCCGAAAGCUAUUUAGGUAGCGCCUCGUGAACUCAUCUUCGGGGGUAGAGCACUGUUUCGGCUAGGGGGUCAUCCCGACUUACCAACCCGAUGCAAACUACGAAUACCGAAGAAUGUUAUCACGGGAGACACACGGCGGGUGCUAACGUCCGUCGUGAAGAGGGAAACAACCCAGACCGCCAGCUAAGGUCCCAAAGUCAUGGUUAAGUGGGAAACGAUGUGGGAAGGCACAGACAGCCAGGAUGUUGGCUUAGAAGCAGCCAUCAUUUAAAGAAAGCGUAAUAGCUCACUGGUCGAGUCGGCCUGCGCGGAAGAUGUAACGGGGCUAAACCAUGCACCGAAGCUGCGGCAGCGACACUAUGUGUUGUUGGGUAGGGGAGCGUUCUGUAAGCCUGCGAAGGUGACCUGUGAGGGUUGCUGGAGGUAUCAGAAGUGCGAAUGCUGACAUAAGUAACGAUAAAGCGGGUGAAAAGCCCGCUCGCCGGAAGACCAAGGGUUCCUGUCCAACGUUAAUCGGGGCAGGGUGAGUCGACCCCUAAGGCGAGGCCGAAAGGCGUAGUCGAUGGGAAACAGGUUAAUAUUCCUGUACUUGGUGUUACUGCGAAGGGGGGACGGAGAAGGCUAUGUUAGCCGGGCGACGGUUGUCCCGGUUUAAGCAUGUAGGCUGAUUGUCCAGGCAAAUCCGGAUAAUCAAGGCUGAGGUGUGAUGACGAGGCACUACGGUGCUGAAGUAACAAAUGCCCUGCUUCCAGGAAAAGCCUCUAAGCAUCAGGUAACAUUAAAUCGUACCCCAAACCGACACAGGUGGUCAGGUAGAGAAUACCAAGGCGCUUGAGAGAACUCGGGUGAAGGAACUAGGCAAAAUGGUGCCGUAACUUCGGGAGAAGGCACGCUGGUGUGUAGGUGAAGUCCCUGCGGAUGGAGCUGAGACCAGUCGAAGAUACCAGCUGGCUGCAACUGUUUAUUAAAAACACAGCACUGUGCAAACACGAAAGUGGACGUAUACGGUGUGACGCCUGCCCGGUGCCGGAAGGUUAAUUGAUGGGGUUAUCCGUAAGGAGAAGCUCUUGAUCGAAGCCCCGGUAAACGGCGGCCGUAACUAUAACGGUCCUAAGGUAGCGAAAUUCCUUGUCGGGUAAGUUCCGACCUGCACGAAUGGCGUAAUGAUGGCCAGGCUGUCUCCACCCGAGACUCAGUGAAAUUGAACUCGCUGUGAAGAUGCAGUGUACCCGCGGCAAGACGGAAAGACCCCGUGAACCUUUACUAUAGCUUGACACUGAACAUUGAGCCUUGAUGUGUAGGAUAGGUGGGAGGCUUUGAAGCGUGGACGCCAGUCUGCGUGGAGCCAACCUUGAAAUACCACCCUUUAAUGUUUGAUGUUCUAACGUUGGCCCCUGACCGGGGUUGCGGACAGUGUCUGGUGGGUAGUUUGACUGGGGCGGUCUCCUCCCAAAGCGUAACGGAGGAGCACGAAGGUUAGCUAAUCCUGGUCGGACAUCAGGAGGUUAGUGCAAUGGCAUAAGCUAGCUUGACUGCGAGCGUGACGGCGCGAGCAGGUGCGAAAGCAGGUCAUAGUGAUCCGGUGGUUCUGAAUGGAAGGGCCAUCGCUCAACGGAUAAAAGGUACUCCGGGGAUAACAGGCUGAUACCGCCCAAGAGUUCAUAUCGACGGCGGUGUUUGGCACCUCGAUGUCGGCUCAUCACAUCCUGGGGCUGAAGUAGGUCCCAAGGGUAUGGCUGUUCGCCAUUUAAAGUGGUACGCGAGCUGGGUUUAGAACGUCGUGAGACAGUUCGGUCCCUAUCUGCCGUGGGCGCUGGAGAAUUGAGGGGGGCUGCUCCUAGUACGAGAGGACCGGAGUGGACGCAUCACUGGUGUUCGGGUUGUCAUGCCAAUGGCACUGCCCGGUAGCUAAAUGCGGAAGAGAUAAGUGCUGAAAGCAUCUAAGCACGAAACUUGCCCCGAGAUGAGUUCUCCCUGAGACUAUAAGUCUCCUGAAGGAACGUUAAAGACGAUGACGUUGAUAGGCCGGGUGUGUAAGCGCAGCGAUGCGUUGAGCUAACCGGUACUAAUGAACCGUGAGGCUUAACCUU